rnacentral:lncRNA from 1 species
UCGAAUCUAUCUUUCCAAUGUUGAGCAACUUCUCUAGCAUCUUUUGCUUCUUGACAUUUCUUGGCCCAAGUCGUAGGUGUGACUCGAGAAGCUUCAAGGGCUCUUCCCUUAAGUCGGCGCUCGUGCUCGGCUUGGGUCUCAGCAUUGUGGAGGGAGAUAGUGAGAUCGUGUACCUUAGCCUCCAAUAUCUCUCUAACUUAUUUUUUCUC